rnacentral:rRNA from 1 species
CCUACGGGUGGCAGCAGUAGGGAAUCUUCCACAAUGGGCGAAAGCCUGAUGGAGCAACGCCGCGUGGGUGAAGAAGGUCUUCGGAUCGUAAAACCCUGUUGUUAGAGAAGAAAGUGCGUGAGAGUAACUGUUCACGUUUCGACGGUACCUAACCAGAAAGCCACGGCUAACUACGUGCCAGCAGCCGCGGUAAUACGUAGGUGGCAAGCGUUAUCCGGAGUGAUUGGGCGUAAAGGGAACGCAGGCGGUCUUUUAAGUCUGAUGGGAAAGCCUUCGGCUUAACCGGGGUAGUGCAUUGGAAACGGGGAGACUUGAGGGCAGAAGAGGAGAGUGGAACUCCAGGUGUAGCGGUGAAAUGCGUAGAGAUAUGGAAGAACACCAGUGGCGAAGGCGGCUCUCUGGUCUGUAACUGACGCUGAGGUUCGAAAGCGUGGGUAGCAAACAGGAUUAGAUACCCCAGUAGUC